GAUAUACUCCCUCUGUCUGGAAAUAAUUGUCGCUCAAACGGAUGUAUCUAAGACGUAUUUCAGUGCUAGAUACAUCUGUUUGAGCGACAGUUAUUUCCGGACGGAGGAAGUAGUUG
rnacentral:pre_miRNA from 1 species